ensembl:lncRNA
CGGUGCGCAUGCGCCGUGACGCGGCGCGUUCCGCCGCGCAGCGCCUCCCCCGGGCUUGAGACAGUCUGUCAGCUAUCUUGGAACGUGGCUUUGAAGACCAAGACCAUGCAUACUUCCAUACUGCAGAGAACACGUGUUUGACCAACGUAUGAACCACCACGAGAGAUGCUGGCACAGACACGUUGUCUUGGUAUGCUGUAUUUCUGGAUCUAAGAUCAAUCUGAGAGAACAGAUUCCCUGCUCAUGGGUAUGGUAAAUUUAACAGCAGGGAGGAAUAAUGGCCUUCUGAAGAUUGCCAAUGAGCAAAGAAUCACUGUAAGGUGAUCAUCAGUGCAGCAGGAGGAAGCAGAAGGCUUCGUUACGUGCCAGAAAGAAUAAAGGGUGUGCUGUAAACAGUAUCUACG